CCAUCGAUAACCUAGGAGGGAACCCGACGGCCAAAAGCAAGCAAGGUUCCAUCGAUUUCUUGUCGGUUUGAGGGCAUAUAUAAAGGAAUAAAUUUGGGGAAUCGAUAAGUUUUGUGAAGUUUAAGGUAAUCAAGGGGCGGCUAGGUUUUGUGAAAGAGAGUAGAUCAGAAUCUUGGUUCCAAGGAUUUCAAGAGGUUUAGUGUUAUGUUAAUUCAUUUAUUGGAUU